CGCGUAGGCGGUUUGAUCAGUCGGAUGUGAAAGCCCCGGGCUCAACCUGGGAACUGCAUUCGAUACUGUCAAACUAGAGUGUGGUAGAGGGAAGUGGAAUUCCAGGUGUAGCGGUGAAAUGCGUAGAUAUCUGGAGGAACAUCAGUGGCGAAGGCGACUUCCUGGACCAACACUGACGCUGAGGUGCGAAAGCGUGGGGAGCAAACA
rnacentral:rRNA from 1 species